GCAGCCCCAUGACAGCUGGAUCCGAAAUCCUAGAUGGAUCCAGCUUGAUGUCUCUGCAGU
rfam:Otolemur garnettii contig155601, whole genome shotgun sequence.